UUCUUUCUUUCUUUCUUUUCUUUUUUUCGUAGGCUCCACCUGGUAGAGCCCAAGGUGAGGCUGAACUCAUGGCUCUGAGAUGAAGACCUGAGCUGAGAUCAACAGACCAAGGCUCAAAGGAUUGAGCCACCCAGGUGGCUCGUGCCUCUGGAGCUAUGAGAGAAGAGGAGCUUUGGCCUGUGACAUGAGUAGAUGAGCCUUCACUACAGAGCAGUCCUGGAAGCGAUCACACCAUGGAAAGAUAUGAACACUCAGACCUGCCACUUGCCAGGUGAAAGUGCAGACUUUUCCUCUCAACCACAAUAUCCAGUUGAAGAUUCUAUGCUGGGAAUGAACCAUGGGACUUUAUUAUGAACCUGUGUGAAGUCCUAAAACUACUUCCCACAGGGGAUUUUCCUGGCCCUUUAUCCUCCACUGGUGCUGAGGAACAUCUACCCACCGAGAAAUUUCCUUGUGACUCCUGCCAAGAACUGAAUUUCACCCCUCCUGCAAAGGGGGUGAGUUCUUGAGGGCUGACUCAGCCUUCCAAAGAGCCUCUUUCUGUCUAAACCAGGACAUUCAUGCUAAUAAUGUUUCUGUCACUUUCUUAAAGACAUUUUGAAUUCUUAUUUAGUUUAACAGCUGUUGUUUAAGUGAUUGUGCAUUUGUUCAAAUUGAAGCUUGAUAGAAUUCUUAGGGUAGUAUUUUGUAAGUAGAGGAGUUGUUUUAUAAAUUAGAAUCUUAUGAAUGAAUUAUUUCCAUUUUAUUGCACUCUCUAGGUAGUAGAUUUGUAUUUUGACUUGAUUAACCAGUCCAGCAAAACACCAGCUAUAAUAGGCAUUCUGC